rnacentral:lncRNA from 1 species
UGUUUGUUGAACUUGAGUUUGUGUCUUUUUGAACUUGAGUUUGUGGUGUUUUUGAACUUGAGUUUGUGUCGUGUUUGAAGUUUGUGACAACUUAUGAACUUGAGUUUGUUUCGCUUGAUUUUUUGGCAAUUGUUGAACUUGAGUCUUUGGUUUUUAGUGAACUUUAGUUGGUGGCAAUUGUUGAACUUGAGUUUGUGGCGUUUGUUGAACUUGAGUUUGUGGCGUUUGUUGAACUUGAGUUUAUUAUGUUUUUUGAACUUGAGGUUCGGGUGUUUUUGAACUUGAGUUUGUGUGUUUUUUGAACUUGAGGUUGUGGAAAUUGUUAAACUUGAGAAUCGGGUGUUGCUUGAACUUGACUUGUUGUGUUUGUUGAACUUGAGUUUGUGUCGUUUUAGAACUUGAGUUUGUGUGGUGUUUUUGAAGUUGAGUUUGUGGCGUUUGUUGAACUUGAGUUUGUGGCGUGUUUGAACUUGAGUUUGUGGUGUUUUUUGAACUUGAGGUUGUGGAAAUUGUUAAACCUGAGAAUCGGGUGUUGGUUGAACUUGAAACUGUGACAUUUGUUGAACUUGAGUUUGUGGUGUUUGUUGAACUUGAGUUUGUAUCGUGUUUGAACUUAAGCUUGUGGUGUUUGAUGAACUUGAGUUUGUGGCAAUUGUUAACCUUGAGUCUGUAUUUUUCUCUGAACUUUACUUGGUGGCAAUUGUUGAACUUGAGUUUGUGGUGUUUGUUGUACUUGAGUUUGUGGCGUGUUUGAACUUGAGUUUCUGUUGGUUUUGAACUUGAGGUUGUGGAAAUUGUUAAACUUGAGAUUUGGGAUUUGGUUGAACCUGAGUUUGUGAAUCGUGUUUGAACUUGAGUUUGUGGUGUUUUUGAUCUUGAGCUUUUGUGUUUUUUGAACUGAAGUUCGUGGCAAUUGUUAAACUUGUGACUUAGGUGUUGGUUGAACUUGAGUUUGUGGUGUUUUUGAACUUGAGUUUGUGAAGUGUUUGAACUAGAUUUUCUGGUUAUUUUUUAACUUGAGUCUGUGUGUUUUUCUAACUUGAGGUUGUGGAAAUUGUUAAACUUGCGAAGUGGGCAUUGGUUGAACUUGAGUUCGUGUGUUUGUUGAACUUGAGUUUUUGUCAUUUAGAACUUGAGUUUGUGGUGUUUUUGAACUUGAGUUUUUGGCGUUUGUUGAACUUAAGUUUUUGUCGUUUUGAACUUGAGUUUGUGGUGUUUUUGAACUUGAGGUUUUGGCAGAUGUUAAACUUGAUAUUUGGGUGUUGUUUGAACUUGAGUUUUUGUCGUGUUUGAACUUGAGUUUGUGUCGUGUUUGAACUUGAGUUUGUGUCGUGUUUGAACUUGAGGUUGUGGAAAUUGUUAAACGUGAGAAUUGGGUAUUGGUUAAACUUGAGUUUGUGUGUUUGUUGAACCUGAGUUUGUGUCGUGUUUGAACUUGAGAUUUUGCUGUUUUGUGAUCUUGAAUUUGUGUGGUUUUUUUUUUACUUGAGUUUUUGGUGUUUUUGAAUUUGAGUUUCUGUUGUUUUUGAACAUGAGGUUGUGGCAAUUUGUUAAACUUGAGAUUUGGGUGUUGGUUGAAAUUAAGUUUCGGCAUUUUUGAACUUGAGUUUGUGGUGUUUUUGAACUUGAAUUUGUGUGUUUUUUGAACCUGAGUUUGUUGAACUUGAGUUAAUGACAUAUCACGGUUUUCUAUUUCACCUCAUCAACAUACAGAAGAAAGUAAAGAGGUCUUUCAUCGUGUUUGUGCAUUGUCUCUCCAUUUUAACAAACAUUUUUUACAGGCCAAGGGAGCUGCAGUAACAUCCUUUUAUUAAUCAAGUGCGACAAAUUUUAGAGUUUGAUAAGAAAUGAGAAAACUAAUGAUCCACACUGAAAAACGGUCGUGAUUACAAUAAACUUUGAGAUGCUGAUUUUUUUAUUUUAUUUUUUUGCAACUAAAUUACAUUUUUUUUGUCCUUCUGUCUUCUCCCUCUUACUGAACUCCUCAACGCUAUUUCUACUGCGGGCCCUGUUCACUGUUGGCAACUCAGCUGUAAGUUCACAAAUAAAGUAACUUUAAAAUAUAUUUUCACUGUUACUUUUUGCAACACAUUAUCUAAAAACCUGACCUAAAUAACACUUUAUUUUAACUAAUGCAGAACUAAAUGUAAAUAAUUUUGCUGGCUGAUCACAGUUGGAAUUACAAUGCAGUGAGAUGUGCUGGUUUUGUACAAUUAAACUAAAAAUCUCUUGUCUCUGUUUUUCCAUUUUCCUUCUUGCCAACUCGA